GACGAACGCUGGCGGCGUGCUUAACACAUGCAAGUCGAACGAUGAAGCCGGAGCUUGCUCUGGUGGAUUAGUGGCGAACGGGUGAGUAACACGUGAGUAACCUGCCCUUGACUCUGGGAUAAGCGUUGGAAACGACGUCUAAUACCGGAUACGAGCUAGGACCGCAUGGUCACUAGCUGGAAAGAAUUUCGGUCAAGGAUGGACUCGCGGCCUAUCAGUUAGUUGGUGAGGUAACGGCUCACCAAGACGACGACGGGUAGCCGGCCUGAGAGGGUGACCGGCCACACCGGGACUGAGACACGGCCCAGACUCCUACGGGAGGCAGCAGUGGGGAAUAUUGCACAAUGGGCGCAAGCCUGAUGCAGCAACGCCGCGUGAGGGACGACGGCCUUCGGGUUGUAAACCUCUUUUAGCAGGGAAGAAGCGCAAGUGACGGUACCUGCAGAAAAAGCACCGGCUAACUACGUGCCAGCAGCCGCCGCGGUAA
rnacentral:rRNA from 1 species